rnacentral:tRNA from 1 species
GUGUAGCUCAAUGGUAGAGCACAUGCAUGAGGCUCUGGGUUCAAUACCCAGUAC